CUAGACUCCUACGGGAGGCAGCAGUGGGGAAUAUUGGGCAAUGGGCGAAAGCCUGACCCAGCAACGCCGCGUGAAGGAAGAAGGCUUUCGGGUUGUAAACUUCUUUUGACAGGGAAGAGCAGAAGACGGUACCUGUCGAAUAAGCCACGGCUAACUACGUGCCAGCAGCCGCGGUAAUACGUAGGGGGCAAGCGUUAUCCGGAUUUACUGGGUGUAAAGGGAGCGUAGACGGCCAGACAAGUCUGAAGUGAAAAUCCAGCGCUUAACGUUGGAAGUGCUUUGGAAACUGCCGGGCUAGAGUGCAGGAGGGGCAGGCGGAAUUCCUAGUGUAGCGGUGAAAUGCGUAGAUAUUCGGAGGAACACCGGUGGCGAAGGCGGCCAACUGGGCUUUAACUGACGCUGAGGCUCGAAAGUGUGGGGAGCAAACAGGAUUAGAUACCCGUGUAGUA
rnacentral:rRNA from 1 species